AUGAACGCUGGCGGCGUGCUUAACACAUGCAAGUCGCACGGAAAGGCUCCUGCUUGCAGGGGUACUCGAGUGGCGAACGGGUGAGUAACACGUGGGUGAUCUGCCCUGCACUUCGGGAUAAGCCUGGGAAACUGGGUCUAAUACCGGAUAGGACGAUGGUUUGGAUGCCAUUGUGGAAAGUUUUUCGGUGUGGGAUGAGCUCGCGGCCUAUCAGCUUGUUGGUGGGGUAAUGGCCUACCAAGGCGUCGACGGGUAGCCGGCCUGAGAGGGUGUACGGCCACAUUGGGACUGAGAUACGGCCCAGACUCCUACGGGAGGCAGCAGUGGGGAAUAUUGCACAAUGGGCGCAAGCCUGAUGCAGCGACGCCGCGUGGGGGAUGACGGCCUUCGGGCUGUAAACUCCUUUCGCUAGGGACGAAGCGUUUUGUGACGGUACCUGGAGAAGAAGCACCGGCUAACUACGUG
rnacentral:rRNA from 1 species